CACAGUGUACCCCAUGUAGUGGGGGGAAAUAUUGCACCGGUUUGGGCAAAUCUGAGCCCACAGGGGACUGUGAAGGAGGAUUCUAUUGUAGACAGAGGUCUACGAGUCCAGUUCCUCCUAAUGGUCAUGAAGGGGGUGUGUGUCCUGCUGGCAGUUUCUGCCCACCGGGUUCAGUUCACCCACAGCCCUGCCCUUCAGGAACCUACAGUAACAGCACGGGUCUCCAACAUGCAGAGCAGUGUGUCCACUGUCCUCCAGGUUAUUAUUGUUUAGGAACAAACUCUACGUCCCCUUCUGGUCCAUGCUUUGCGGGGUAUUACUGCACCGGAGGUUCAGCCACACCAAUCCAACACGAAGCUGAGGAGGGACACUACUCUUUGGAAGGAGCUGUCAGGGCCGAACCAUGCCCAUUGGGAACUUUCCAACUAGGAAGAGGCUACAACUCAUGCAUUGAAUGCCAAUCAGGAAGAUUGUGCAACAAGACAGGCCUAUCCCAGCAGCCCCUGUGCCCACCUGGAAACUUCUGCCCUGCUGGAUCCUUAAUUGCUCACCCAUGUCCCCCUGGUACAUACACGGCAAGUUCAGGGGUGGAGGAUCUGCAGCACUGCGGCCCAUGUGAUGCUGGUCAGUACUGCCGCUCUCCUGGACUGACUGCUCCUCAGGGACCCUCAGGCACCAGGCACCCUCAUGAGUACCCCUGUCCUCCUGGAACCUGGAGUAAUGCACUGGGGGCCCAAAAUGUGUCAUCGUGUUGGCUCUGCCCUGCUGGAUUCUUCUGCAACAGCUCUGGCCUCACUCAGCCCACUGGAAUAUGUGCUCCAGGGUUUUAUUGUGCGGGAGGCGCUAAAACGGCUAUGCCUGAUGAUGGGGUUACAGGAAACAGGUGUCCGACGCGGUAUUACUGUCCACAGGGGUGUACUUCACCUCUGCACUGCCCUGAUGGAACACACUCAAAUAGCACAGGUGCUGCAGAAUGCAGUGACUGUCCCACUGGAUGGUUGUGUCUGGAGGGGGAGGAGCUCCAGUUGUGUCCAGAGGGACAUUACUGCCUGGGGGGCACAGUGGAGGACAUACUCCCCUGCCCUCCAGGCACAUACAGCCCCAAAGCAG
ensembl:lncRNA